GAGAAGCUUGCUUCUCUGAUGUUAGCGGCGGACGGGUGAGUAACACGUGGAUAACCUACCUAUAAGACUGGGAUAACUUCGGGAAACCGGAGCUAAUACCGGAUAAUAUUUUGAACCGCAUGGUUCAAAAGUGAAAGACGGUCUUGCUGUCACUUAUAGAUGGAUCCGCGCUGCAUUAGCUAGUUGGUAAGGUAACGGCUUACCAAGGCAACGAUGCAUAGCCGACCUGAGAGGGUGAUCGGCCACACUGGAACUGAGACACGGUCCAGACUCCUACGGGAGGCAGCAGUAGGGAAUCUUCCGCAAUGGGCGAAAGCCUGACGGAGCAACGCCGCGUGAGUGAUGAAGGUCUUCGGAUCGUAAAACUCUGUUAUUAGGGAAGAACAUAUGUGUAAGUAACUGUGCACAUCUUGACGGUACCUAAUCAGAAAGCCACGGCUAACUACGUGCCAGCAGCCGCGGUAAUACGUAGGUGGCAAGCGUUAUCCGGAAUUAUUGGGCGUAAAGCGCGCGUAGGCGGUUUUUUAAGUCUGAUGUGAAAGCCCACGGCUCAACCGUGGAGGGUCAUUGGAAACUGGAAAACUUGAGUGCAGAAGAGGAAAGUGGAAUUCCAUGUGUAGCGGUGAAAUGCGCAGAGAUAUGGAGGAACACCAGUGGCGAAGGCGACUUUCUGGUCUGUAACUGACGCUGAUGUGCGAAAGCGUGGGGAUCAAACAGGAUUAGAUACCCUGGUAGUCCACGCCGUAAACGAUGAGUGCUAAGUGUUAGGGGGUUUCCGCCCCUUAGUGCUGCAGCUAACGCAUUAAGCACUCCGCCUGGGGAGUACGACCGCAAGGUUGAAACUCAAAGGAAUUGACGGGGACCCG
rnacentral:rRNA from 1 species